rnacentral:misc_RNA from 1 species
GAUGAAGAACGUAGCGAAAUGCGAUAAGUAAUGUGAAUUGCAGAAUUCAGUGAAUCAUCGAAUCUUUGAACGCACAUUGCGCCCGCCAGUAUUCUGGCGGGCAUGCCUGUUCGAGCGUCAUUUCAACCCUCAGGCCCCCAGUGCCUGGUGUUGGGGAUCGGCCCAGCCUUCCUGUAAGGCCGCCGGCCCCGAAAUCUAGUGGCGGUCUCGCUGUAGUCCUCCUCUGCGUAGUAGCACAACCUCGCAGUUGGAACGCGGCGGUGGCCUUGCCGUUAAACACCCCACUUCUGAAAGUUGACCUCGGAUCAGGUAGGAAUACCCGCUGAACUUAAGCAUAUCAAUAAGCGGAGGA